UUAAUGUCUAAAGCUUGAUGACUUC
rnacentral:piRNA from 1 species